AGACAAGUAUUAAUGUACAGUAUUAAUGUAAGUCAGUCUGUUCAGAGUCUAUAAUAACAUCCACAAUGUCCACAUAUGGUAAUAAAUGCUCAACGCGAUUAAUCUCAUACCGGUAAUUAGAAUUUAGAGAGUAAUGCGAUAUAUAGACCAGCAUUGAGUAUAACAAUCAUUCUGAGACAUAUGGCUACAUUAAAGUACAAACUUUAAAACUAGAUCGUCUGCCAUUGUGAAUGUAAAAGAUGUACUUUAUCCUACCUAAUAUAAAAAAGGGACAAAGAUAAAGAUUAUCCAAAAGGCAAACCUGGUUUCAGAAACUACGGUCAGGUGUUUUUACCAACAAGAUUUGAGUUGUCUAGCUCGGUUGAGGCUGUUCGUUCUAAUUUCUUUUUAAAACCCUAGAGAAAGUAGAAUGAGAGUACUGAAACUUACAGUUUGUGUUUGUUUGUUAGUCAUAGCGUUCACUGCUUUCCUGACACAGGCCCAAUGUCGAGUUAUAUGUCCCAUGACCCUCAAACCUGUUUGUGCCAGCAACGGUCGGACAUUCAUUAAUGAAUGUGAAAUCCGCGCAUUCUCGUGUCGAAAUCAACUGAGCCUUAAACACGAAGGUGCUUGCAAAAAAGCUUCAUAGGAAGGAACACUACUAACUUUUAUUCAAAUAAAUGUCGACCUAUUUUCUGAAAAACAUAUUAGCUAUAUAAGUUCUUAGUUGUAUCCAAAUUAGCUAUGGGGCACGUUUAUAAUCAUUGGCCAGCUAAUUGAAAAUGAAAACUUGAAUAAAUAAAGACCUAACUUUGACAUGG
rnacentral:sRNA from 1 species